AAGCUGGAGACUUGAGAAGUCGGAAGAAUAGGUGCAUCUAGGUGAUCAUGUGCAGUCGCAUCGCUCUGAAUGGCUAGAGUGGGGAUGGUUACCCGCUGGUCUAGAUACGGUUCAAUAAUGAAACGGUAUUUUUUUACCAUUAAGUUUGUUGCUGAUCACAACAAACUCUCAACGUCCUAAACAGCACAAUAAACCGGACCCUAUCGCACCACGAGUUGCUGUCUACGAGUCGGGUUGUUUGGGAAUGCAGCCCCAAUCGGGCGGUAAAUUCCGUCCAGGGCUAAAUAUGGGCGAGAGACCGAUAGCGAACAAGUACCGCGAGGUAAAGAUGGAAAGGACUUUGAAAAGAGAUUCAAAGAGUGCUUGAAAUUGUCGGGAGGGAAGCGGAUGGGGGCCGGCGAUUCAUCCCGGUCAGAUGCAGAACGGAGCAAUCCGGUCCGCCGAUCGAUUCGGGUCGUGGACCGACACGGAUUAAGGUGGUGACCUAAGCCUGGGCUUUUGUUACGCCCGCGGAGACGUCGCUGCCUUAAUCGUGGUCUGCAGCACGCGCCUCACGGCGUGCCUCGGCAUCUGUGUGCUCAGGGCGUCGGCCUCUGGGCUCCCCAUUCGACCCGUCUUGAAACACGGACCAAGGAGUCUGACAUGUGUGCGAGUCAACAGGUGAGUAAACCCGUAUGGUGCAAGGAAUCUGAUUGGCUGGAUCCCUCACGGGUGCACAGCCGACCGACCUUGAUCUUCUGAGAAGGGUUCGAGUGUGAGCAUGCCUAUCGGGACCCGAAAGAUGGUGAACUAUGCCUGAGCGGGGGGAUGCCAGAGGAAACUCUGGUGGAGGCCCGCAACGAUACUGACGUGCAAAUCGUUCGUCUGACUUGGGUAUAGGGGCGAAAGACUAAUCGAACCAUCUAGUAGCUGGUUCCCUCCGAAGUUUCCCUCAGGAUAGCUGGAGCUCGGAAACGAGUUCUAUCGGGUAAAGCUAAUGAUUAGAGGCAUCGGGGAUGCAAUGUCCUCGACCUAUUCUCAAACUUUAAAUAGGUAGGACGGGGUGGCUGCUUUGUUGAGCCAUCCCACGGAAUCGAUAGCUCCAAGUGGGCCAUUUUUGGUAAGCAGAACUGGCGAUGCGGGAUGAACCGGAAGCCGGGUUACGGUGCCCAACUGUGCGCUAACCUAGAACUCACAAAGGGUGUUGGUCGAUUAAGACAGCAGGACGGUGGUCAUGGAAGUCGAAAUCCGCUAAGGAGUGUGUAACAAUUCACCUGCCGAAUCAACUAGCCCCGAAAAUGGAUUUCGCUGAAGCGCGAGACCUAUACCUGGCCGUCGGGGCAAGGGUCAGGCCUCGAUGAGUAGGAGGGCGCGAGCCCGGGCGGAGCGGCCGUCGGUGCACAUCUUGGUGGUAAUAGCAAAUAUUCAAAUGAGAACUUUGAAGGCCGUAGAGGGGAAAUGUUCCAUGUGAACGACACUUGCACAUGGGUUAGUCAAUCCUAAGAGUCGGGGGAAACCCAUCUGAUAGCGCUUAUGCGUGAACUUCGAAAGGGGAUCCGGUUAAAAUUCUGGAACCGGGAUGUGGCGGUUGACGGCAACGUUAGGGAGUCCGGAGACGUCGGCGGGAAUUCCGGAAAGAGUUAUAUUUUCUGUUUAACAGCCUGCCCACCCUGGAAACGGCUCAGCCGGAGGUAUGGUCCAGCGGCUGGAAGAGCACCGCACGUCGCGUGGUGUCCAGUGCAUUCCCGGUGGCCCUUGAAAAUCCGGAGGACCGAGUGUCGCUCACGCCCGGUUGUACUCUUAACCACAUCAGGUCUCCAAUGUGAACAGCCUCUGGUCGAUGGAACAAUGUAGGCAAGGGAAGUCUGCAAAAUGGAUCCGUAACUUCAGGAAAAGGAUUGCCUCUGAGGGCUGGGCUCGGGGGUCCCAGUUCCGAACCCAUCGACUGUUGGCGAGCUGCUUGAGCUGCUAACGUGGCGAGAGCGGACCGCCUCGUGUCGGCCGGGGGACAGACUGGGAAUGGCUCUUUCGGGAUCUUUCCCUGGGCGUCGAACAGCCAACUCAGAACUGGUACGGACAAGGGGAAUCCGACUGUUUAAUUAAAACAAAGCAUUGCGAUGGUCCCUGCGGAUGCUAACGCAAUGUGCCUUCUGCCCAGUGCUCUGAAUGUCAAAGUGAAGAAAUUCAACCAAGUGCGGGUAAUCGGAAGGAGUAACUAUGACUCUUUUAAGGUAGCCAAAUGCCUCGUCAUCUAAUUAAUGACGCGCAUGAAUGGAUUAACGAGAUUCUCACUGUCCCUGUCUACUAUCCAGCGAAACCACAGCCAAGGGUACCGGCUUGGCAGAAUCAGCGGGGAAAGAAGACCCUAUUGAGCUUGACUCUAGUUCGACUUUGUGAAAUGACUUGAGAGGUGUAGAAUAAGUGGGAGCUCCGGCGCAAGUGAAAUACCACUACUUUUUGUUGUAAAAGAGUUGGGAAAUCGUGUGUUUUAUUUCUGAAUAAUAAGUUCCCUUUAUAUAGGGGUUACAAGGAAGAGAUAAAUGGGAAGAGUAAAAAACCUAAUCCAAGAGGAAAGAGGAAAACUACUAAAGAUAAGGAAAAGGAAAACAUCCUAAUACUAAGUCGGCCAAAGGAGUGGCCGACUCUCUCUCCCUUGGACGCGGCCUGUCAUGUCCCCGAUCCUAGAUAGGAUCGGCCGGACGGGCCAUGGUGCGGGGAGACGCACCAGUCAGGUCAUUAGACCUUGAGACAAGCGUAUCAUGGCCCUGAAUGAAGGUUAAGGGCAUCAGUCAGCUGAGACUUAACCAGGAUACGAUGGAAAUAAGGGUAAAGGGGCUGGGUGAGUGUUUAGGCAGCUGGACGAGUGUUGGUUUGAGUUCAAUCAGCUCGGUUCAGCUGGUAAUCAGUUC
rnacentral:rRNA from 1 species